GAGGGGGGAAAGGGUGUGGCCACUGGGGCAGGCUGCUCUGGGGCCAGGCUGGGACAGGAGGGUGACAUCUCAGAGGACCCCUCCAGAGUCCGUUCCUGCCAUGCGUCUCCUGUGCACUGUGGUCCUGGCUGUCCUGGGGGCAGGGCACAUGGAUGCUGCCGUCACCCAGACCCCGAGGCACCAGAUCACAAGGACAGGAGGGAAUGUGACUCUGCAGUGUGCCCAGGACAUGAACCACUACUCCAUGUACUGGUACCGACAAGACCCGGGACUGGGCCUGCGGCUGAUCCACUACUCUACCAAUGUAGAUGAUACCAAGAAAGGUGACAUCCCAGAUGGGUACAAUGUCUCCAGAUCAAAAAAGGAGCACUUCCCACUCACGGUGAAGUCGGCAGUCCCCUCACAGACAGCUGUGUACUUCUGUGCCAGCAGUGCCUCCACAGUACUGCACGGCCAUCUCAGCCCUGCACAAAAAGGGCUCAGGAGGCCCUCAAAGCCUACUCAGCCUGGGGACCUCCGAGUUGGGGCGUCAGGUUCAGGGAUAUCUGUACCUGCUGAGGUCCACCUCCAGGCCCCUCUCAGCCGGCCAGGACCUAGUGAUGGGAAAUGCACAGAGCUGCAGUGUGUCCUGUCCCUGAGCCUCUCACCUGGCUCCCAAAUGCUAGGCCUUCUCCAACCCUGCUCCCACGCUUCCCCUGAGGGAAAGGGAGUUUGUAACUAUACUAUCCAGUUAAUGAAAGUGGACAUAUUUUAGUCACCAUGGAACACCAGUGCGUUCUCCUAGCAGUGAAAUGAGGAGUUGAACCCCGUGUAACAGCCCCACGAGUUCUGGAAGCACAGGGAGACACUCUAGAGCAUAUUACACACUGGUGUUUCUGGAUGAUGAGGCUGAGUUUCCUUCCAUAAAGAGGAUGAGAGGAGCCCUUUCUGUGGCACGGAGACUUGAGUGGCAGGGCUUUGCUGUGGGCCAUGGAGACAGAGUCCUUCAUAGAGAUGAGAGAACACAGGUGAUGUAGGUCUUUGACCAGAAGAAGGAAUAGGAGCUCCAGACUCAGACACUGGCCCAGGCAUCACUUCCUCUCCUGUGUCCCUGGAUAUGCCAGUGACUUCAAACUCGUCCUGGCCCAGCCGAGUCAGGCCCCAGCACCCGCUUUACCUAAGGAUGGAGAUUCUGAGCAGUGUGGCCAGGAGGGUGGAGGUGCUGUGGCAGACACAGACACCUGGCCCAUGGGAUCGUCCUUGGUCGGAGAUUUGUGCUGCUGGAGGUGCGUCACAAUGAACGUGCCUGGCAAACGGGGCAAGUGGUAAGAGAGAAGAUGUGCUUAUAGACAUGGUUGGGGUCUCCCUGUCCAGACAGCCCUGGAGCCCUGGUUCAGCACCCAUGGGGUGAUGUUUUUAAAAAGGAGCUUAUACACAUUCAAAUCGGUCAUCCAUCCAUAUGUGUUAUAAUAUGGUCCCAUGAUCCUGAGGGUGCGGGGACUGAUGAGACAGUGACGUCGUCUGCCUUUUGGGGAAAAGGACACUCCCUCCUCUGCUCGUGUUCACAAAGACCCUGAACCAGGAAAUCCCACGGUCUUGUCUGAACCACCACGUCCUCCAGGCUCCCCUGUUGGGUGGCCCUCUGCCUCCUGGGGGCAGGUGAGCCCUUGCAUGCCAGGUAGUUCUAGAGUGUGGAUGGAGUAUGUGUGAGUGUGUGUAUGUGAACAUAUAUGGUGUGUGUGUCUGUCUGAUGAUUCCCAUCACUGUCCCCAUCCUUUUCCCAGCAUCUGUCUCCUCAGGUCACAUUUUGCUGCAGUUUCACAGGCCCCCAGGCACACGGUCAUAAGGAGAGACCAGGCCAUAGCCCUCAGAAGUGAUCCAGUUGUGGGACACAACCGCCUUUACUGGAGCCAACAGGCCCUGGGCAGAGCCUGGUGCUUUGAAACAAUGUCUGAAACAGUGAUGCAGUAGACAAGUGGGGAUGCCUGAGGCUCGGUUCUCCCUGGAGAGGAUUGAUGGGUCGUCCUCCACACUGAGGAUACAGCCUGUGGAGCCAGGGGACUUGAACGUGUACCUCUGUGCCUGCAGCUUAGCCACAGCACGGCAU